GACGAACGCUGGCGGCGUGCUUAACGCAUGCAAGUCGAACGGAAAGGCCCUGCUUUUGUGGGGUGCUCGAGUGGCGAACGGGUGAGUAACACGUGAGUAACCUGCCCUUGACUUUGGGAUAACUUCAGGAAACUGGGGCUAAUACCGGAUAGGAGCUCCUGCUGCAUGGUGGGGGUUGGAAAGUUUCGGCGGUUGGGGAUGGACUCGCGGCUUAUCAGCUUGUUGGUGGGGUAGUGGCUUACCAAGGCUUUGACGGGUAGCCGGCCUGAGAGGGUGACCGGGCACCAUGGGACUGAGGUACGGCCCCGGCUCCUUAGGGAGGGAAGCGGGGGGAAUAUUGCACCAUGGGGCGAAGGCCGAAGGAGCCACCGCGGGGGGGGGAAGGACGGCCUUGGGGUUGAAACCCGCUUUGGCUGUGAACAAGGCGGAGUGAAGGGAAUGGGUUAAGAAGCCACCGCCAACCUAGUG
rnacentral:rRNA from 1 species